rnacentral:lncRNA from 1 species
GUGCUAAGUCACUUCAGUUGUGUCCAACUCUUUUUGACCCUAUGGACUGUAGCCCGCCAGGAUCCUCUGUCCAUGGGAUUCUCCAAGCAAGAAUACUGGAGUGGGUUGCCAUUUCCUCCUCCAGGGGAUCUUCCCCACCCAGGGAUCGACCCUCUAUCUCCCACAUCUCCUGCAUUGUCAGGCGGGUUCUUUACCACCAGCAUCACCUGAAAUUGUUGCAUCUCUAGGUAAAGAAGGUGGACUGUUGAGUAGCUUCCUUGGUUGGAGCCAUUAGGCUUAUGAAGGCUAUUCCCCAUUCAGGUCCUGCAGGUUCACGGACAGAGAAAUAGAAAACAGAAGAAACAGACAAAUAAGACGCGGCUGCAACGAAAACUAGUUUAUGGCGGAAUGAACGGAUGUGGUUAAAUACACCUGCACGCUUCCCCCAACCCUGCCAACAGCAUGCUGGAACACCACACGUGGUCAGGAAGCAUGUGGACCUCCAGGAUGAGAUGGUUGGAUGGCAUCACUGACUCAAUGGACAUGAGUUUGCACAAACUCUGGAAGAUGGUGAAGGAUGGCAGAGCCUGGCGUGCUGUAGUCCAUGGGUUCGCAGAAAGUGAGAUGCCGCUGAGUGACGGAACCACAGUAACAAACCCGAUAGACCAUAGUGGGAUCAACGCUGCCUUCCUUAGUCCUCGUUCAGUGAAACGCAGUGAGUCAUGA